UGUCACAGUAGAAAAUUUGAGAAAUUCAUUUAUUGAAUUACACAAAUGACCUUUGCACUUGUCAAGAGGUCAAAACCAAGCGAAUCGGUCUAACACAAAGACUUGCACGACCAAUUCAGUACACAAGCAAUAUAUCAAAAUACAUAAUACUACUGAACACUUCCCUUUCUUUUCUUCUUGGCUCAUUCUUCUUCUCUUCCUCGUGUGGUUGCUUUCAUCUCUUUCUUAAAGCUCUCGCAACACCAAGUUUUCUUUAUUUUAAAAUCUUUCUUUUUUUCCUGCAAAAAAAAACAACUUUAAGAUUGCUUUGUUUACAAACGUAAAAUCACCAUAUCACUCUGUUGAAUUUUUUGUUCAACCAAUUUUUUGGGGUCAAAAUAGAGCCUUUUAAGUGAAAGCUUAAGCUUACCUCAAACCUAUCAAAGCCAUUCAUUAGUAGUGGUGGGGAGGAGGAGGUGAAGUGUAUAAGUAAUGAUGAGGUGGCGGUGGUGGCGGUGGGGAUUUGUAUUUGUAAGGGUGAUGUGGUGGUGGGUAGUGCGGUGGUGGUGGUGGUGGUGGGGAUUUGUAUUUGUAAGGGUGAUGCGGCGGUGGGUAGUGCACUGGUGGUGGUGGUGGUGGUGGUGAUGGUGGUGGUGGCGGUGGCGGUGGGGAUUUGUAUUUGUAAGGGUGAUGUGGUGGUGGGUAGUGCGGUGGUGGGUAGUGCACUGGUGGUGGUGGUGGUGGCGGUGGGGAUUUGUAUUUGUAAGGGUGAUGUGGUGGUGGGUAGUGCACUGGUGGUGGUGGUGUUUGUGGUGGUUGCUGUGGUUUUUUGUAUUUGUAAUUUAUUCGUGGUGGGUUGGUGAUUUGCGGUGGUGUGGUAGUUCACUUGUGGUGGUGCGGCGGCGGCGGGGACUUGUAUUUGUAAGGGUGAUGUGGUGGUGAGUAGUGCACGGGAGGCGGUGGUGGCGGGGGCGUGGACUUGUACUUGUAAGGUGUGCGUGGUGAGUAGUGCAUGGGUUGGCGGCGGCGGGGACCUUGUAUUUGUAAGGGUGAUGUGGUGUUAGUAGUGCACGGGUGGUGGCGGCGGCGCCGGCGGGGACUUGUAUUUGUAAGGGUGAUGUGUGGUUGAGUAGUGGCACGGGUGUGCGGUGGCGGCGGGGAUUUUGUAUUUGUAAGGUGAUGCGGUGGUGAGUAGUGCACGGGUGGUGGUGGUGGUGGUGGGGACUUAUAUUUGUAAGGGUGAUGCGGUGGUGAGUAGUGCACGGGUGGAGGCGGCGGCGGUGGGGACUUAUAUUUGUAAGGGUGAUGCGGUGGUAAGUAGUGCACUGGUGGCGGUGGUGGCGGUGAUUUGUAGUGAUAAGGAGGAGGUGGUGGUGGCGACUUGGGAGGUGGUGGAGGAGAUUUGUAGUAAUAAUUAGCAGUGGUUUCCAAUGGCAAAGUGAGAGACACUAUUGCCACUAGGAGAGUGGUGAUGAGAGAGGCCAUUUUAGGCCUCAUUCCUUUCGUUCCCAUCUUCACCACAAAAUCGAUUUUUGGUUAUGCUCUUAACCCUCCCUCUCCA
rnacentral:lncRNA from 1 species